AUGUGCUUCUCCCUCCCUUGCCCCGAAGACCCCUUCAACGAGUGCCACGGCAAGAAGCGCAAGACCGAAGACGCCGCCGACACCAACGACGACCACAAGAAGAAAAGCAAGGGUUCCAAGAAGCAGGAGCGGGCCGGCGCGGGAGACUCCUCCACCGGCGCGGCGGUGUUGGGGGCGGUGGCGGCGAGGAGGGGGUGCCACGAGUGGGUGGUGGACCACUAUAGCAACCCGCACAACGUGGAGGCGUUCGACAAGAACGACGCCGACGUUGGCACCGGCCUCGUCGGCGCGCCCGCCUGCGGGGACAUCAUGAAGAUGCAGAUCCGCGUCGACCAGGCCUCCGGCAGGAUCGUCAAUGCCUGCUUCAAGACCUUCGGCUGCGGCUCCGCCAUCGCAUCCUCCUCCGUCGAUGAUGUUUCGACCAUGAAGAUGGAUGCUGCGAUAGACGGCCUGAACAGCAAGACCCACAUGAAGAUCCUGCUGAAGUGGAUGUGGGGCAGGAUCAUCAAGCUCUCGUGCACGCAGCGAGGAGCCGCUCUUCGCCUCGCCUCGCACAAGCGACGUCAUCAGGUUGCAAGCAAAUAUUUGUGUUUGCUCUUUCACUAG
rnacentral:rRNA from 1 species